rnacentral:rRNA from 1 species
UACGGGGGGGGCAAGCGUUGUUCGGAAUUACUGGGCGUAAAGGGCUCGUAGGCGGCCAACUAAGUCAGACGUGAAAUCCCUCGGCUUAACCGGGGAACUGCGUCUGAUACUGGAUGGCUUGAAUCCGGGAGGAGGAUGCGGAAUUCCUGGUGUAGCGGUGAAAUGCGUAGAUAUCAGGAGGAACACCUGUGGUGUAGACGGCUUUCUGGACCAUAGCUGACGCUGAGACACGAAAGCUGGGGAGCAAACAGG